UUCAGGGGUGUGAAAACAAGUUGCAGUUGUCUGGUGCCAGCAUAAACACUGAACCUACUCAAGCCAGUUCCCCCCGACCACUGAAGUCCACACGGAAUAGUGCCAUAAUGGAAUCAAUUACCUGCAAAGAAAUAGUAAAGAGGGAGAGGAUGUGAAAGGAUAAGAAUUUACUUGGAAAAUAUUCAAGAUAUAUAAAUGAACAGCACAAUCUUAUACAUGUCUACUCA